rnacentral:rRNA from 1 species
AUUGAAACGCUGCGGAAUGCUUUACACAUGCAAGUCGAACGGUAGAGGGGGCAACCCCUUGAGAGUGCCGAACGGGUGAGUAAUGUAUCGGAACGUGCCCAGUCGUGGGGGAUAACGUAGUGAAAAUUACGCUAAUACCGCAUACGAUCUAUGGAUGAAAGCGGGGGAUCGCAAGACCUCGCGCGAUUGGAGCGGCCGAUAUCAGAUUAGGUAGUUGGUGGGGUAAAGGCCCACCAAGCCAACGAUCUGUAGCUGGUCUGAGAGGACGACCAGCCACACUGGAACUGAGACACGGUCCAGACUCCUACGGGAGGCAGCAGUGGGGAAUUUUGGACAAUGGACGCAAGUCUGAUCCAGCCAUUCCGCGUGCAGGACGAAGGCCUUCGGGUUGUAAACUGCUCUUGUACGGAACGAAAAAGCUUUUAUUAAUACUAGGAGUCCAUGACGGUACCGUAAGAAUAAGCACCGGCUAACUACGUGCCAGCAGCCGCGGUAAUACGUAGGGUGCAAGCGUUAAUCGGAAUUACUGGGCGUAAAGCGUGCGCAGGCGGUUAUAUAAGACAGAUGUGAAAUCCCCGAGCUUAACCUGGGAACUGCAUUUGUGACUGUAUAGCUAGAGUACGGCAGAGGGGGAUGGAAUUCCGCGUGUAGCAGUGAAAUGCGUAGAUAUGCGGAGGAACACCGAUGGCGAAGG